GUGCUCACUUCGGCAGCACAUAUACUAAAAUUGUAAUGAUACAGAGAAGAUUAGCAUGGCCCCUGUGGAAGGAUGUCAUGCAAAUUCCCUCAGGAGUCACCAUUCAGU